rnacentral:misc_RNA from 1 species
AACGCAUAUUGCGCCCUCUGGUAUUCCGGAGGGCAUGCCUGUCCGAGCGUCAUUUCAACCCCCCUCAAGCCCGGCUUGUGUGUUGAGCGGGGGUCCCCCUUCGCGGGGGGGCCGGCUCCAAAUGCAGUGGCAGCGCCGCUAUUACAAGGGUGACUGAGCACAUGGGAAAAGGAUACUGUUCUGAUCUUCGUGCUUGUUAAAAAAGUUCCCGGUGGCCGCUUGCCCCCCAUUAAAUUUUUCUAGGUUGACCUCGGAUCAGGUAGGGAUACCCGCUGAACUUAA